rnacentral:rRNA from 1 species
UACGAAGGGGGCAAGCGUUGAUCGGAAUUACUGGGCGUAAAGCGCACGUAGGCGGCCGUGUAAGUCGGGGGUGAAAGCCCCGGGCUCAACCCGGGAACUGCCUUCAUUACUGCAAAGCUAGAGGAUGCGAGAGGUUAGCGGAAUUCCCGGUGUAGAGGUGAAAUUCGUAGAUAUUCGGAAGAACACCAGUGGCGAAGGCGGCCACCUGGCCCAUUACUGACGCUGAGGUGCGAAAGCGUGGGGAGCAAACAGG